UACGUAGGGUGCGAGCGUUGUCCGGAAUUAUUGGGCGUAAAGAGCUUGUAGGCGGUUUGUCGCGUCUGCCGUGAAAAUCCGAGGCUCAACCUCGGACUUGCGGUGGGUACGGGCAGACUAGAGUGUGGUAGGGGAGACUGGAAUUCCUGGUGUAGCGGCGAAAUGCGCAGAUAUCAGGAGGAACACCGAUGGCGAAGGCAGGUCUCUGGGCCACUACUGACGCUGAGAAGCGAAAGCAUGGGGAGCGAACAGG
rnacentral:rRNA from 1 species